CCUCGUCCUCACCAGCAUCACCGGGGGCGGUCGCGAACUGACGGUGCCGGCGGACCGCAUCAAUCUCGAGUUCGUCCUCGGCAACAAAGUGAUGGUCGGCAGCGUCAAUGCGGCCCGCGAGCACUUCGAGAGCGGCGUGCGGGACAUGGCGCAGGCCGAGCUCGAAUACCCGGGCUGGCUGACGCAGCUGCUCACGGAUCCGGUCAGGGGGCUCGAUCGCUACGAGGAGCUGUUCGCCAGGCUGCAGAGCCCGAAUGGCGCCAUCAAGAUCUAUUGCGAGGUCGCGGAGUAGCCGUGCGCGCCACGGGUGCACCGGCAUGUUACGCUUCGGCCACCAUG
rnacentral:misc_RNA from 1 species